GACCAGCGAGCGCAGCCGCAGCCGCGCAGAAGGUGAGUCGAGCACCUCCCGAACCUGCCCCAUGCCGCGUAUGUUCUACGGCCUCGAGGAAGCCGAGCCGCGUCCAAGCCUCGCCGAUCAGUAGCAGCAGUAGUUCCCAUCCAGCGGGCAUGAAGAAGAGCUCCCAGAUCCCUCGUCCUAGAGCGAGCUCUCCCUCACCUCGCCGGACGUCUCCCCCAACUAGGACACUGCCGCCAGACCAGCAGGUCCAGUGCCUCACACCCCUUGUCCUCUUUGUUGGCUCUCCUACUCCUCAAAUAUCUCUCUCUCUUCCGCCCGUGAACAAGGUCACCCCUGUCAAGCCUUGGGGCCUUCGCGGGACCUUUGGAACCCCUCUAUCGGCGAGAUCCGGAAGCCAUCGAUCCCCCCGUGCCAAUUCCUACCGUCGUCGGAGUGUCGUGCAUCCCCGCCAUACCCGCUGGUCAUUGCCCCACCUCAUGUGCGUGCAACGGGGAGGAGGAAGACUCAUGCACAAGGACGAGCGCUCGCCCUGCCCCGGUAUCAUUGACCCGUGUGCAUCAGACGCUUGGGCGGCGACCUCCCAAGACCCAGCUCACAUGCGUUGACUUGCGCCUUGGGUCGGCCUUGCAUCGCUAGAUCACAUGCCCAGCCAUCCACCCGGCGCCAGUCCCAACCGCUUCGCCCCGUACUCAAGGCUUAGUCGCCGGCUCUUGCCAGUCCAGCUCCAAGGUCAGCAGUACCACCCUGUCCCGCGCCCAGCACACCAUAUAGUAUGUUGCGCUCAGUACAAACCCGUGACAGAUCCAAGAUUCGUCCCAUGUGUGGUUUUUUUUUCGCGUCGCGAAUUUAACUUAUUAAGCAAGGAAUGACAGAUUUUCAAAAAGUCCUCAAUGUUCAUGCAUUUAAUAAAUUCACAACCAUACAUCGGGUUAAAACAAUUUGCAUAUGAAAGAUUGCUCAAAAAAUUAAGUAAAUUAAUAAUAUACAACUUUCACACAUGUUUAAAAUGUUUAAACUUGCUAUUUGUUUAAAUUAGCAUAAAUGCCAAGUUAAAAUGAUUUAUUUACUAACUAAUUAACCGUAGCUAUGAUUAAAAUGAUCCACAUAUGCAACUUGACUAGAAAAAUGCCUAGAAUAACAUGGUGACAUUUAUUUUGCUGUUUAGCAGCUCUAAAAUUGUGUUCUAGGCAAAACAGUAGCAAUUUAAAAAUUACAUAUGGGGACUUUCGGAAUUGUUAUUUCUUGUUUCCGGCCUCAUUUAAAAAUGCCUAGAUGAUGUAGGUGCUCAUGCUCAAACGCUUGCCAUGAUUAACAUCAUUUAAAUGAUUGUUUAGUCAAAACAACGUCAACCACAUUUCUCUUAAUAUCGAGCAAUAUUAUUUGUGAUAUGUAUGUUCACGUUCUCCAUUUAAAAUUGCUUAAUUCCAUCUUCACCUUAUGCCAUGACCAUGCAUGUUUAAUAACAUUAAAUAUUAAUGAGUACCUAACAAGAGUGAACUAAAUGAUUCGAACGUGGAGUUUCAUCUAUAUGCAAUCAUUGUAUAUUGAGCUUCACUAAAUGUGUAGUAUUUGUUUGUUGUGCUUGUCGUGCCUUGCAUAUUUAAACGAGAAGAUGCAUCAUAAUUGUUUGUGCAUCAUGUCAUGAAUAUGUUGUGGUGUUUAUCAUGUGUUGAUUGUUUGUUUCCGGAUUGAUUCUUCUCGAUUUUCGUUUUGGAAUAAAACUCUUUCGGCAAGGCCCAACAUUGGUACUAUAUUUGCUCAACACAAUAAUACUGAACACCGUUAGUAAUUCAUAGGGAGUUAGCAUAACCCAUGGAUUAAUUUAACAUAAUACAGGGGGCAGUGCUGAUGGCAUUGGUCCCAAACGGGUAGACUGUGGGGCCACCACGGGGAAACUCGUGGUUUGGUUUUACUCGGAGGCUUUCCCAUCCGGUAGUGCCCUGAGAAAGAGAUACACGUGGUCCUAUUGGGAUCUGGCCGGACGGGCUGCCUUGCUAGAUUUGUUUUACUCUUAGCAAAAGUCUUGUGCAUUGGGAUAUCGAGGAUACCUUGGGAUACCUCAAGGUUGAGGGUUUCUCUCCAGGGCAGCUUGUGAUAGUUUGUGAUGGACUAGUUGGAGCAAUCCUGUAGGGUUAAAUCUUUCUGAGAGCCGUGCCCGCGGUUACGUUGCAACUUGGACAUUUGUUUCACACUCGUUCAUAGCAAACUUGAAGUAUACUCAAUUAAAAUAUUCCAACUGUGUGCGUAACCGUGACUAUCUCUACUCAUGAGUUCUGCAUCUGAGAUAGGACACGGUUGGGUUAUGUUUGACUCAUAAGUAGGUGUUCAGGAUCACUUCAUGAUCAUUGUUAUCUCACGUCCGUUUAUGCUUAGAUCACCCCCUCUUAUUCUUGUACUCGUAAGUUAGCCACUCAAUUAAAUGCUUAGUUGCUUGCUGCAGUCUCACCACUUAACCAUACCUCACCCAUUAAGCUUUGCUAGUCUUGAUACCUUUGGAAAUGAGAUUGAUGAGUCCCUAUGGCUCACAGAUUACUACAAAACAGAUACAGGUACUGAUGAAGUGAUACUUUGACGUGAGCGCGAUGGUUGUUCUAUUUGGAGGUUCUUCUUCCUCUUCUUAUUCUUCUUCUUCGAUCUUAGGAUGGGUUCCAGGCCAGCAGCCUGGGAUAGCAAGGAUGGACGUCGUUUUAUUUGUUUGAUUUCGUCCGUAGGUGGACCCUGCUCUUCUAAAAGGUGAUUGAAUGUAUGUUGUAUUGAGAUGAUCAUACUUAACUUGUGGCGGGUAUAAGCCAAUUCCAUCUACUCAUCUCUUCUUUGCAUGUACUGUUGGAAAUAUGCCCUAGAGGCAAUAAUAAAU
rnacentral:lncRNA from 1 species